rnacentral:lncRNA from 1 species
GAGCAGGUAAGUACAACCCUCGGCCUCAGUUUCAUCAUCUGGUCCAAUGAGGAUACUGGAAUGCACUUGGUGUCUGAUGGCCUUCACACACUUCAUGUGUGAUCCUAUCAUCCUUUGCACAGGAAUAGCAAUACCUGCAAAUAUUCUUCAACUUUGAGCAUUAUCCACUAUCUUAAAGAACUUUAGGCUGGGCGCGGUGGCUCACGCCUAUAAUCCCAGCACUUUGGGAGGCCAAGGCAGGCAGAUCACGAGGUCAGGAGAUCCAGACCAUCCUGGAUAACACGGUGAAACCCCAUCUCUACUAAAGAUACAAAAACAAAAUUAGCUGGGCGUGGUGGUGGGCGCCUGUAGU